rnacentral:rRNA from 1 species
GAUGAACGCUGGCGGCGUGCUUAACACAUGCAAGUCGAGCGAAGCAGUUAAGAAGAUUCUUCGGAUGAUUCUUAACUGACUGAGCGGCGGACGGGUGAGUAACGCGUGGGUGACCUGCCCCAUACCGGGGGAUAACAGCUGGAAACGGCUGCUAAUACCGCAUAAGCGCACAGAGCUGCAUGGCUCGGUGUGAAAAACUCCGGUGGUAUGGGAUGGGCCCGCGUCUGAUUAGGCAGUUGGCGGGGUAACGGCCCACCAAACCGACGAUCAGUAGCCGGCCUGAGAGGGCGACCGGCCACAUUGGGACUGAGACACGGCCCAAACUCCUACGGGAGGCAGCAGUGGGGAAUAUUGCACAAUGGGGGAAACCCUGAUGCAGCGACGCCGCGUGAGCGAAGAAGUAUUUCGGUAUGUAAAGCUCUAUCAGCAGGGAAGAUAAUGACGGUACCUGACUAAGAAG